UUCAAGCGCCUGGACUGGUACUGGUGAAAAGUACCAGUUGACGAGGAUGGGGUUUAUCGAAGUUUUCGGCGGAUGCCCCACGGUUGUCCACGACCGUUAGGGUUCUACAAACCCUGUGAGCGAUUACAGGAACAAAGGGAA
rnacentral:ncRNA from 1 species